AAGUUUCCCGAUAGGGAUUUAUCGGCAAACGACCCUGUCCUCCCACCCCCACCCCACCCCACCCGACCCCACUCUACCCACCUCCUACUCCGACUGUGCGACGACGUCUCUUUUUCUUCUACGGCUCGAUAGCUGUUUUCGGGGUUUUUUACUCGAUUUCUCUCUGGGAGGUGGCGCUGUUCCUCUCGGAGAGAUAGGGAAACGAUUUUCGUUUGGGGGGUUCCAUUGUUCUUUUAUGCGAUUUGCGGGGGUUUUCGUCACGGUAUUCAAAUUGCGACCGUCUUGUAGAGGGGAUGCUUUUACAUUGCAACGUCGUGAUCCCGCUUUGAUUGACAUAAUGGGGUCGGUGUGAUAUAAAUGUAAAAAAUAAUCGCUUAUUUUUAGUUAGUUUUUCUCCCGACAGGUGGUUCUGACGCCAAUCCAUAAUUCAAGGCCGACGAACUUCAACGCGGCCUUGGAUUGGAUUCAAAAACAAAACAAAAACAAAACAAGACUGGCUGCUAAUCAAUCAACUGAACCAAGGCAAAUUUAAAGCAAAAUGUAGUCAAAUUUUAAAUAAUCUGGUACAAUAGCCGUACGGUUUUUUAUAUACCGAAAAGCAUUCAUUCAUCAUGGAGUCCAGGAUGAUUUAUGAUGUGAUGGUAGAACAAUGCUGGAUUACCACCCUAUAAUUCUUGAAACUACAUUAGUUUCCAAUGCCAGUGGAUCGGCAAGGCUGAGACUUGCAAACUCAUCAACAUCUGGAAAAUGAAAUUUGCAAAUUCCUACAAAGAUCCUAUGCUUCAGUCCUGAUGUAUCAACACUGGUGCAGAGUCUACGACAAGCCUUGGCCCUUGAAGCUAAAUUCCAACCAAAGCUUCAACUUCUGUCAACACUCAACAGCCAGCAAUAGAGGAGAAAGCGGUGAAAUUAUGUGUGCAAUGAGGGAUGGAGCUGCUCAUGUUCUUCGCUGCAUGAAAGUCUGGUAUGAUCUUCCUUAUGCAGUUCUUCUGGAUGCUCUCAACAUGAUGGACUGGUUCAUGAGCCGCAUGAAAGCACUCCUAAACACCUCUCAUGCAUAGCAAUCAGCUCCUUCCAUCUAGCAGCUUGCCAAUGGGUGGAGAGGAUUAAACAGAACAACAUUGAGGUAUCUUCCAUUCAGAGUCCAAUAUUGUUCCUGAACCUCAAUAUCUGGUAACGAUAUCUUAAUGUAAAUGUACCGACGGAGACAUCAACCGGAUGGAAAAAAUUGUCGAAGCCAAGAUAGCUUGUCUACCCCAAGAAGAACCGGUCACGACCUUAACAUUCCUCAACCUCUAUCACUCACUUCUCUCGACGACUUUACCUGCCGCUCUUCAGCAAGACCUUCUUAUUCUUUCAUGCAAGCAGGAGACCAUUUGCUGUGACGCAAAAUAAUGCUGCCUUUCCCUCAUCUCUUUUGACUUUCGUCCUACUGUUUGUCGAAAUAAAGUGUCACCAGCAGGCCAUCGAGGUUAUUAUCAGAGACGUUUUACUAGAACUUCAGCGACUUGUUCAGGUAAAAAAUGACUAGUUGAAGGAGUGUAUAAGAAUGGUCACUUCGGCAAUGGCACCUUACGAUGGCUAUGUCCAAAGCAAUCCGUCUCAUCGUCAACGACUUACCUGGAAGUUGUCCUUUUUCUACUAUUUAUUUGCCUUCUAAAC
rnacentral:lncRNA from 1 species